CAAGCAUGGGUUACAAUGAACUAGACUCAUGGAGCUAAAAUGGCCUCUGGGGCUUUGUCUGACCUCAUUCAUUUUACAGGUUUUGUUUUUCUUUUUCCUUUAACUAUUCAGUUAGGCCAAGAAAAACACCAGACGAUCUUUGGAAAGAGACAGAAACCAAAUUAAACAAGGCUCCAUUCUGAAGGUUUUCUAUGUUCUCCAAUCCCAUCAUCACAAAGUGCCCAUGCACGACCGGGAUAAGCUGCAGUUUCUCUUUAACAUUCAGUGCAUGCCCACAGAAGCCAUGACAGUCCUGUGGAAUACAGAAGACAACUCGCAGGAGUCAGUCCUCUCCUUCCGCCAUGUGGGUCCAGAAGAUCAGACUGAGGUCAUUGGCAGCAAAGGCCUUAUCCUGCUGACCCAUGUGUCUACAGACCAAGAACUGUGGCUUUGUCUCAUACACUGACUUUUCACACCUUUCCAUCUUAGUCUCUAACUACAUAAUAAAACCUUU